CAGUCAUGAACGCAUCUGUAUAUGUUGGCAGGUGAUUGGGGUGUGAUUUUCUAUACAAAACUGGAACUAUCACUGGAAAGCUGCUUGCUCUCUGGCGAGUGCAGGAACCUGAAUAACAACCAUCUGAACGAGACACUAAACGGACCUUUGGUUUCCUUUUCCCUGAGCUAUCUACCUAGUCUUGAGCAUGUAUGGGUUGAGGGGAGUCUGGAACCUAUGCCAGGGAAUUUGUGACACCCUGGGUGACACCCUGGAUGGAGUACCAACCCAUCACAUAGCACAUGCACAGACACUAUGGACAAUUUGGAAACACCAAUCAGACUACGACACGUGUCUUUGGAAUGGGGGAGGAACGAAGUACACAGAGGAAAUCCCCUGAAGCACCGGGAGACCAUGCAAACUCACUUCACACAGGAGAAUUAUGGAGUUGGAGGAUAAUCAGACACCGCAAGAAUUCAUUUAUGCAGACGAGGCAGGGUUUAACCUGGGAAAAACAUGUAGAUGAAGACAAAACAUAAUUGGGAAAAUGGCCACCGUUGAUGUGCCGGGUCAGAGAAGAGCAAAUAGCAUGAUGUGUGUUGCAAUCUCAAGUGCUGGUUUGGAUAUACCAGGGCUUUUUAUAAUAUUUAAUCAAAAAUCUGGUACAUGAAUAACUUUAGCAUACACAAACCAUAAUGCUUUACCAAUUUGACAACAGACUACAUCUGAGAGAUGAGCAACGGCAGCCCUAAUCUAUUUAGUGCCCUAGGAAAAAUUUUCCAUUGGUGCCAAUUGGUAGAAAUUACUGGGAAUGCAUAAAAUUUAGUACAUGUUAAAUAGCCCUUUUUAGAACCCUUUCUUGAUUUAGAUAUUUUUCUGUGUCCUUCACAUAUUCUUGCACACAUUUUAUUUGCACUUACAUUGUGAAGCAUUUUGUUGCAGGAGGAUUGUUAGACUCAUCAACAGUGGUAGGUAGUUUCCGGUAAAACCACCACAUUCAAUGUCACAAUGGCAACAGUUGAGUAAAGGCAUGUAUCCUGCAAAGAAAUUUCCUUUCAUCUCAGGCAACCUUUUUUUUUUUUUUUUUUGGUACUUUUGUUAUUGCAGUGAACACUACCUUGUAUCAUCUACAAAAAUAUAUACUCACUCACACACACACACACACACACACACACACACACACACACACACACACACACACACACACACACACACACACGGUUUUUACUAAAACAGUAUUAGUGUUUAGGAUCUGCCAUUCUGUGACCGUCAUAACACUCAAUUUCAGAUCAUUCAGAUUAUAUCAGGGUUUUUUGUUUUUUUUUAAAUAUAGAUAAUCUGUUCAGUUAUAGCUGAAAGUGGGACACUGAAUGCAAGGGUUUAAAAAAAAACAUACCUUUACUGUUAUGAAACAUUAACGUUGAGCAGGGUCUUUGCUAUCAUCCCUCUUCUGAUUAACAAGCACAGCUCUUUUAUUCACACCCCAUAACACUUUCAGAUCUUUCUUUUGUUCCAUUGCGCAAUACUCGGAUUGCGCAAUGUAUGAAAUGAAUUGAAAAAAAUGAAUGAUCAAAAAAGUAAUCCAUCUCUUUCUUGUUUAUUUCACAUAUUGUAUUUCACAUUUUGCUGAUUUUACUGCUAUGGAUAUUGGACAUUAUAAACAGCACCAAUUGAGAGCAAAAACAAAGAAAUUAACUAACCAACAAACUUUUAAAAUAUAUAUAUAUAUUUUUUUUUUUUAAAUGACAAGACAAAACUAAAAAAUAAGAAAAUAAAAGCAAAAUAAUGCAACCAUAAAGCAACAACUACACAAGAAAAAAUAAAACAAAUAAUACACAAAUAAAACCAGAUAAAAAACAAACAAACAGGAAAAUACAAAAUAAAAUAAACAAAACAAAUAAAACAAGAUGACUAAACAAAAUAAACAAAACAACCAAAACAAAAUGAAACAACACAUUUGUGAACUAAGCUUUUCUCCCAUUAUACACUAUAAUCCAUUCUUGGGGUUUUCAGACUCUCAGUCUCUUCAGAAAGUCUGAAAAACUCACUUUAUAACAACAUACUCUAGCACAGACAAAUAAUUGUCUUGUUGACAAUUAUUUAGUAUAUUUUAUUUUGUAUUUUCUAUUCCGUUCUUUGUUUUUUAAUGUUCUAUUUAUGCUUAUUCAUUUCCAUUUUACACAUACUUGUUUAAAUAUGCAUAUUGUGUGCCUUAUACUGUUGCAUGUUAGCAGUUUACCCCAGACUUUCCACAAGCAUCUCAGUG